GACGAACGCUGGCGGCGUGCUUAACACAUGCAAGUCGAACGGAAAGGCCUCUUUCGGGGGGUACUCGAGUGGCGAACGGGUGAGUAACACGUGAGUAACCUGCCCUUGACUUUGGGAUAACUUCAGGAAACUGGGGCUAAUACCGGAUAGGAGCUCCUGCUGCAUGGUGGGGGUUGGAAAGUUUCGGCGGUUGGGGGUGGACUCGCGGCUUAUCAGCUUGUUGGUGGGGUAGUGGCUUACCAAGGCUUUGACGGGUAGCCGGCCUGAGAGGGUGACCGGCCACAUUGGGACUGAGAGACGGCCCAGACUGCUACGGGAGGCAGCAGUGGGGAAGAUUGCACAAGGGGUGGAAGCCUGAUGCAGCAACGCCGUGUGCGGGAUGACGGCCUUCGGGUUGUAAACCGCUUGCGCUCAUGACGAAGCUUUGUGUGACGGUAGUGGGUAAAGAAGCACCGGCUAACUACGUG
rnacentral:rRNA from 1 species